GGCUGUCCCCAGCCGGUCGCGGCGCAGGAAGAGGCAGCGAGACAAGAAGCUGCAGACUGCGCUCAGCUUUCUUCUCCACAAGGCAGAUUAACAGAGAAUUGUCACUGACACCUCUGACCUCUGCUGAAUUUCCAUUUCCCUCAGAGCUGCUGCUUCAUCCUGAAGAGCACAUUUCUGCACAAGUCACUGCACACCUCUCACUGGAGGUGUUUGCAGAGGAAGGCAAGAGCAAUUGCUUCCCGGGAUAAGAUCCAUCUCACCUAAGUUUACCCACCUGAAAGUUAGAUGUCUUCAGCAAACCCACAGACCCUGGAGACAAACCAGUGUUCUUGGGAGGAGACACCAAGUGUCAGCCCAGAUGGAGCCUUUUGGAGCAACCAACUACCUGGGUCAGCUAAAUGGGAGCCUUGACACCAACACAGAUUUCUGUCCCCUCUUAAUAGAACCUGGGUUUCCUUUCCUUGCUACAGAGGAAGAAGAAAGGCCUUAGAUUUUUAUCUCCUGGCCUACAAUUGGUUAAGUGUACCUCGCACUCCAAAGACAAAGUAGGUGGAAUUGAAGAUGGAUGGGAAGACUGACGUAUUCCCUCUCCCCCAUCCCCAGCCUGUGUGGAGCUAAGCCAAGAGGAGCAGGGUGUUCCAGCUGAAUGGUGCAAAGUCCUUCCCUCCUGCAGAGGGAACAGCAGGGAAUAUUCUGCUCUUGCUCCAUGCAAAACAGCACAGCUCCUCACCACAUCCCACCCAGUGGGUGAGGGCAGAGGAUACCAAAGACUUUCAGAGCUGCCACUUUGCCACACAUCACAGCCAAGAGGAUUAGUUCAGUAAGGGCAGAUACUAAGCUCUGAUCAUCUUGUUCCAAGGGUACAGAUUACUGCAAUAUGAGCCACGGGGAGAAAAAAACAAAAGAAAAAGAAAAAAAAUACUGGAAAACCAGCUGACAACAAGUCGAGCCAAAACGUUUUUCUCAGAAUGGGUAAUGACAGAAAAAAAAAAUAAAAUUAUCACUUUUCUUUUUUUCACCAGUUCGAAAGCUGAUAAGAGUUUGGAGCAAAACAUUUCUAAACUGAAAAUACAGGCAAAAGAUUUUCUGAAAGAUGUAAGCACAGAGGAGCCAUUUGAUUCUUGGUGUCAUCCCCUUGCGUUCCACAGACCAAUUUCACUCAUUCACUUCUUCAUUAAACACAAUGAGAGAUAUUGAGCUAAAGCUUCUACUCCCAAAAGCCAUCCAGUUUUGAAAACAUCAGGAGGUGGUGAUGCUUCCCUCGAUCAUUUCCUCCAGGGAAUAACCACUGGAUUCACAACAGGCCCUCAUUUUCUGUUCCCUAACAAAUCAGUGACAAACUCUAGAUCACCUGGAGGGCACAGACAUGCACCCAUGCCAUCCAGCAUAUUCUACCACAAUUAUUAGCACAUUUCAGAGACAACCAUCACUGGAGCCAUUUAUUAUUUAUCCAGCUCUGGAAGGUUAUCAGCUCCCAGCUGAGAUCAUCAGAGACAUUCUUCCUCCAUCCUAUCUGAUUGAAGAGCAAUGGAAAUCCUGUCUGGGCUUUCUGACUGUGGGAAUCGUGCCAGUUGACCUCCCCUGGUGCUUCCAACAACCCUGUUUAUAUAACCACACAGCCAUCCCCUGCCCUGGGGCAGUUGGCCAGAAAGCUGAUGGCUAGUCUGGAAUUACAGUAAAUUUAGAUAUGAGGUAUGGCUUCUGUUAGGAAUUGGGAGUGUCUUCUUAUGGCUGACAUAAGCAGGCCUGCCUGAGAGGUUUACAAAGCACAAUACUGCAGGUCAUCAGGGGAAUCAAAGGCUGAGACCUUCAGGAGAGACUAGGAACAAGGAUCCAGCUUAAAGUCAAUGAGAAAGAAUUUGCUGGUUCUCCUUGGUGGGUCCCAGCCCAAAGAGACAAAUCCAACAUUUAGCUGGAAGCUUCGAAUCCCAACCAGGGAGCAGUGAAACUGGCAUUUUGAUGAUGAUUCGAGCUUUCUCUGCUACUUAAGGCAGGCUCAGUGAGGAAAAAACCUCUUAGUGAGAAAAAUUCUUGAACAGAUUCCCUGUGAUUCACUGUGUUCCUAGCUCCAUCUGUUUCCCUUAAUAUCCAGUGUAGCUACACAUUAACCUCACAUUUUAAGAAUGAAUGAUGAAGGCUGUAGCCAGCUCUGUACUCUGCAGUGAAAAGGCUCCAUAAGGCUAAGCUAAAAGAAGUUAACACUUCUAAGUGGUGUCUUUCAGUGUAAACCUGUCAAACUCUCCCAGCAGUACAACCCUGGAACACUAACCUGCUUUAAUAUGCAAGAAGCUGUGGCAACUGCUUCUGAUGGGUUGCCAUUUUUUUGUCUUUUUCUUUAUUUUCCCCAACCCUUAUUUCCUAUAUUUGAGCUAAAUCUCAAGCCAGGCUCUCUCAUCCACUGGGAGGUUCUGUGAAAGCAGUGCUCACCCUUUCCUGGUUUGAGUAGGCCAGUGCAAGCCAGGCUUGACACAAACUGUAGGGAAGAAGAGGAGUUGCUGAGGUGCUUUGCAGCACAGCACAGCCCUCAGGAGAGGUUUUAGCAAGGGCAGAAACUUGCAGGAGACAUUUUUUAAUGUCCCCCUCUGCUACGUGAGAAGGAAAUGCUUCUGGCACAGCCUGCCCACCCUGUCUCCUGCAGCCUGCUUCAUUACCUCACACAAGUCCAGAAACUCCCUGAACUUCUGGCUAAGAUGGAAGGGAAUUCUGUGGCAUUCAGGAAUUUUGUAAAAAAAAAAAAAAAACAGAAAAAAAUAAAACAAAACAAAACAAAACAAAAAAAAAAAAAAAAAAAAAACCCACCAAAAAAAAAAAACAAAAACCAAAAAAAACCCAAAAAAACCCAACUCAUUCUUAGGUGGUUAAAUCAAGAAAAGGGCUCAGCCUUAAUUUUCAGAGGAAAUAUCCUGUCCUGUCCACGAUACUGUGUGUUUCUCACCAACCCAGGGCAGUGGAGCACAAUGGAAAAUCAUAUAGGGAAAUCAUAUUGGGAUCUUCAUGGAUUGGUAAUGAGAGGUAACAGAUGACCUACAAGAAGGAUGGAGAGGGACUUUUUACACGGGCCUGGAGUGACAGGACAAGGGGGAAUGGCUUCACGCUGACAGAGAGGAGAUUUAGAUGGGAUCCCAGGAAGAAAUUAUUCCCUGUGAGGGUGCUGAGGCCCUGGCACAGGUUGCCCAGAGAAGCUGUGGCUGCCCCA